rnacentral:rRNA from 1 species
UAAGGAGUGUGUAACAACUCACCUGCCGAAGCAACUAGCUCUGAAAAUGGAUGGCGCUGGAGCAUCACACCUAUACCCGACCGCUGGGGCAGAACGGGCUAAACGUAGUCACGCAUCCAGGGCCUACAGGCCCCAGCGAGUAGGAGGGGCGCAGCGGUGUGCGCAGAAGGGAUUGGGCGUGAGCCUGCCUGGAGCCGCCGUUGGUGCAGAUCUUGGUGGUAGUAGCAAAUACUCGAGCGAUAUCCUGGAGAUCUGAUGUGGAGAAGGGUUCCAUGUGAACAGCCUUUGCACAUGGGUCAGUCUGUCCUAAGCUGCAGGAGAAAUCCGGGUUCUGGCGAAAUCGGUGCUCCCGCGUAUAUAAACAUAUUACACGUGUCACCGCCAAACCUAAGCGAGAGGGAAUCCGGUACUGAUUCCGGAACCUGGUCACGGAUAACCCCUCUUCGGAGGGGGUCGUUGGGGUCCUCGUGAUCUACACCGUAAGGUAGCUAAACUCGGGGAAGUCGGCCGCUGUCCCGGGCAGAGUUUUCUGUUCUGUAUAAGGGCCCGGAUCCCUGGAAUCGCCUCGCGCGGAGAGAGGGAACUGGUUUCAUUUUAGCCCGAAGAGCCCCGCAGUU